AGAGUUUGAUCCUGGCUCAGAAUCAACGCUGGCGGCGCGCUUAACACAUGCAAGUCGAGCGAGAAAGUGGAGCAAUCCAUGAGUACAGCGGCGUACGGGUGAGUAACACGUGGGUGAUCUGCCUCUUAGUGGGGAAUAACCCUGGGAAACCGGGGCUAAUACCGCAUAAUCCUGUGAAGGGAAAGCGCAAUGCGCUGAGAGAGGAGCCCGCGGCCGAUUAGCUAGUUGGUGAGGUAACGGCCCACCNGGCGACGAUCGGUAGCCGGCCUGAGAGGGCACACGGCCACACUGGCACUGAAACACGGGCCAGACUCCUACGGGAGGCAGCAGUGGGGAAUCUUGCACAAUGGAGGCAACUCUGAUGCAGCGACGCCGCGUGAGCGAUGAAGCCCUUCGGGGUGUAAAGCUCUUUCGGCAGGGACGAUAAUGACGGUACCUGAAGAAGAAGCUGCGGCUAACUACGUGCCAGCAGCCGCGGUAAUACGUAGGCAGCGAGCGUUGUUCGGAAUUACUGGGCGUAAAGAGUGUGUAGGCGGUGCUCUAAGUUCGGUGUGAAAUCUCCUGGCUUAACUGGGAGGGUGCGCCGGAAACUGGAGUGCUCGAGCGUGGGAGAGGAAAGCGGAAUUCCUGGUGUAGCGGUGAAAUGCGUAGAUAUCAGGAGGAACACCUGCGGUGUAGACGGCUUUCUGGACCAUUGCUGACGCUGAGACACGAAAGCGUGGGUAGCAAACAGGAUUAGAUACCCUAGUAGUCC
rnacentral:rRNA from 1 species